UAUUUACUGUUAGUGCUCCUAUCUCAAUGGGACACAAGUGGUGACGCAACCAGGUCGCGCUACCAAUAAAAAGUACCUAUUAGUAGAUACAGCUCUAUCGAAGGUGUCUCAUCUGGUGUUUUGGUUGCGCAACCAACCGAACACCAGGUGAGGUACCCACCAUAGAUAUUAUAGUACCCUAAGGUGCAACGCACACCUGCAGAGCAAAGUGAAACCGAGACACAACGACAUG